rnacentral:lncRNA from 1 species
CCAGCCACAGCAGAGACUAUUUUGCACACCUUCCAGACAUUGCUGCCCCAUUCCAGCAGAUACAAGUGCCCUUCUUGUCUCAUGGACUCAAUCAGGAGAUAUGAAGAUUGACAACUGAUUGGCAAAAGUGAAGUCACUGUGUGACCUGUCCUGAAAAGAUGGUGGCUGCAUCUAGAAACAGUGACGUGUUUGGGGAACAAUGGAGUAGAGUCAGAGACGCACCUACUAAGACAUUUUGGCUGCUGGGCACCUGAACAUGAGCAAUGUGAAGCUUCCGGUGCGUGUUUCCAUAGAGAGUUUUCUG